AGACGUAGGGCGCGAGCGUUGUCCGGAUUUAUUGGCGUAAAGAGCUCGUAGGCGGCUUGUCGCGUCGACUGUGAAAACCCGCAGCUUAACUGUGGGCCUGCAGUCGAUACGGGCAGGCUAGAGUUCGGUAGGGGAGACUGGAAUUCCUGGUGUAGCGGUGAAAUGCGCAGAUAUCAGGAGGAACACCGGUGGCGAAGGCGGGUCUCUGGGCCGAUACUGACGCUGAGGAGCGAAAGCGUGGGGAGCGAACAGGAGUAGAUACCCUGGUAGUCCACGCUGUAAACGUUGGGCGCUAGGUGUGGGGUGCCUCUCCGGCUCUCUGUGCCGCAGCUAACGCAUUAAGCGCCCCGCCUGGGGAGUACGGCCGCAAGGCUAAA
rnacentral:rRNA from 1 species